rnacentral:misc_RNA from 1 species
UUGGUAAGCACAUUAAUGUAGUGUAAGUCUACACUGAUACUAAUAGCUCGAUUGGUUUACUUUGCUGUGAGAUUACAUAUGCAUAUAGUGUUAAUUGUAUAAUCAAAUGUAGUAUUAAUUCACAAAGGUUAAAAGUUAUCUUUAUCAAAUAAUAACAAUUAAGUUAUCUAAACAUCUUUAAGAAAGUUUGCAUUGUUAGCUUGGUGGUUAUAGCAUGAGUGAAACACACGA